rnacentral:rRNA from 1 species
GACGAACGCUGGCGGCGUGCUUAACACAUGCAAGUCGAACGAUGAAGCGGGUGCUUGCACUCGUGGAUUAGUGGCGAACGGGCGAGUAACACGUGAGUAACCUGGCCUUUUCUUUGGGAUAACGGCUGGAAACGGCUGCUACUACUGGAGAUUUAGGCUGCAUCGCAUGGGGUGGUUUAGAAAGGUGCUUUCUGGGGUUGGGUGGGCUCGCGGCCUAUCAGCUUGUUGGUGGGGUGAUGGCUUACCAAGGCUUUGACGGGUAGGCGGCCUGAGAGGGUGGUCUGUCGCAGUGGGACUGAGAUACGGCCCAGACUCGUACGGGGGGGAGCAGUGGGGAAUAUUGCACAAUGGACGAAAGUUUGAUGCAGCGACGCCGCGUGGAGGGUGUAGGCCUUCGGGUUGUGAACUCCUUUUGCUCGCGAAAAAGGCACAGUUUUGGCUGUGUUGAUGGUAGUGGGGGAAGAAGCGCCGGCUAACUACGUG